AAAUAAGAAGCAUUACAUGCAUUCAGUUUCGACCUGAAAGAAGAUAGAAUAUCCUUAUUUA
rnacentral:tRNA from 2 species